rnacentral:misc_RNA from 1 species
GUCUUCAUACAUUAGGACUUUACUGAUGUAAGGCUGUAUUAUCUGCUCAAAUUCUUCGCUCUGUCCGCUCACAGCAAACUGCUGCAGCAUUAGCGCCUCUUCCUCUGCCUGCAGCAUUCGUGCCAAUUCCUCAUCCGAUACCAACGAAUUGGCAUUGUCCUGUGCUACAGAGCCAUUACUAGUGGUGGAUUCCUCUUCAUCGAUUGAUACCAAUCGGCUCUCGUCCUUUUCAUCGAUUGAUACCAAUUUGAGCUGGUUAGAAAUGGAGAAGAGAUCAGAGUCGUCUGAUACAACACGAUCAUCAUCUCCUCCAAUGAUCUUCUGGUCAUCGGGAGGAAUUGAAGUGAGGGAGAAAAGCUGGAAUUUGAAAACUUCGAAGCCGUCGUCGGUGUCGUAGUCGACGUCGAAGGUGGAGUCGCUGUAGCGAACGACGAA